GGAGCCGCAGGCCCCGACUGCCAUGUGUGGGGUGUCUGCCACCCUGGAUUUGCCUUCGGGAAGGUCAGAGAGAAGGGCCAAACACCGCUCUGUCUGGGGGCCACCUUUGGGAGUUGGGCAAGUUCCCAGCCACGUGGGGGUCUCUGGUGAAGCCAAAGAUUGGGGCAGGAGAAGCUGCCGGAGGGGAACUCAAUCUCCUUCCUGCGGAUGCCUCUGCCGCUUGCUUAGGACUUGGGAAGGACUCGUGGCGUGCACAUGGCAGACAUGUCCUGAGUGGAGCCAGCUGGGGCCGGGGGUCGGACUAGAUGGCCCAGGACUUGCUCUGUUUCCGUGUUUCUACUCACACUCACAAAGGAGUGAGCUACCUGGGUACCCCAGCGGCACGAGGAACAUGCCAAGUCC
rnacentral:RNase_P_RNA from 1 species